AGGCUCCCCGCUCUCCUCUUGGCCGCCCCGGCCCAGAAGUUGGCUGGAGAGAGAGAGAGAGGGAGAGGGAGGGUGCCCCCGACACCAUGCCUCAGCUCAACAGCGGCGUCGGCGACGACUUGGGCGCCAACGACG